ensembl:misc_RNA Metazoa_SRP Metazoan signal recognition particle RNA
GCUGGGUGUAGUGGCGUGUGCCUGUAAUCCCAGCUACCUGGGAGGCUGAGGCAGGAGAAUUGCUGGAACCUGGGAGGCAGAGGCUGCAGUGAGCCGAGAUCGCACCACUGCACUCCAGCCUGGGUGACAGAGCAAGACUCUGUCUCAA